rnacentral:lncRNA from 1 species
AUGCAAAAGCCUCCUUUCUCUUUUGAAGAAUUCUUACGGUCUCAAAAUUUGAAGGAAUGGCCAAGAUUUCUCUUUCUGGAUGAGCCUUAUUCUUUGGUGGAUCAGUUACAGAAAGACUGUUCAUUCGAUGCUGUAUCUAAAUAUCUGCAUGAAAAUGUGCCAUUGAACAUCAACCCUCUCUCAGAUUUGGAGAAGAGAAUAAAUGCGUGCAUCACUGAACUGGAGGAACAUGCUGAAAAAAUAUUUUCAUUACAACAUGGACCAGCAUAUCUAGAGGAACAUCUUACUCCGCUUGAACAGAGUAACAGUGAUUUUAGUUUUUUCUAAUAGAAAGCAUAGUUAGAAAGUGAAAAACAAUCCCUUUAAUUAAGGCCUACAUAACUGGUGAUUUCUUUCCACUUCUUGGAAAACAGCUUAGAGUAGUAGCCAAAAAAUUUAAGAUCGUAUAUGUAGAUUUAGUGUGUAGAGUUUGAGUUUGCUAAAUUCUAGAAAUUUAAGUAAAAUGAAGCACCCAUGUUAGAAAACUUCCAGAUACUGUGUUAAAUUAAAGACAUUGUUUCAGAUAAGUGAUUAUAGAUUAUGCUAAGGCAAGUAGUUCAGGAGGUGCAAGUAAAUAUUGAUGGCAGGUUCAAAGUGUUAAAACAACAAUGUAAGAAUUCAGAGUUCUGUGUAUAAUUGUUUGUGAUUAGAUACUAAAUAGCAGUAUCAGAACUUCUUUUACAGACAGCCAAGAAGGAUAGUACUGCUAAGUGAUGGGUUGGGGUGUGCGGGUGACAGGCUGCCUGUGUGCCCUCUGUCAGUACUUCUCUCUGUACCUCAGCUUCCUGUGUGUAAAUUUGGAGGAUACUUUCCUGCCCUAAGUAUCAUGCAAGAAACACUAAUUUUGCAGUGCUCUUUUAGAAGGGGACAACAUUCUCCAUCUGUAUUAAUUCUUGCAAAUUUCUGAGACUUAAGAUAAUACUGCUAAUACUGCUCAUAUUAAGUGGCUGUCAGACAUUGCUCUUCUCCUUAUCCCGUUUCAUGACAAACAAAUAGGCCCCCAAGAGAUGUAAUAGGAUGGGGAGUUUUAAUUGAAUAAGCGAAUAUACCUGAUGUUGGUUGAUAUGGUCAGUUACUGAGCUCUCUGAACUAGGGUUUGCUUGCUGUGUACUAGUGCUAGGUGAUAUACCAAUAUCGCAGUAGUACCGCUAUUCUGAAUAUGUACAAUACCAAAAUUGCUAUGUCAUAACAAUAGCACAGUAGCACAAUAUCUGUUGUCAGUCCUGUACGUCGCUAUGUGCCAGCCAGCGCUGCUUUAGCUCUACUUGCAUUUCCCCCAUUCCCUCCU